rnacentral:rRNA from 1 species
UACAGAGGGGGCAAGCGUUGUUCGGAAUUACUGGGCGUAAAGGGCGCGUAGGCGGCGUGCUAAGUCGAACGUGAAAUCCCCGGGCUCAACUCGGGAACUGCGUCCGAGACUGGCAGGCUUGAAUCCGGGAGAGGGAUGUGGAAUUCCAGGUGUAGCGGUGAAAUGCGUAGAUAUCUGGAGGAACAUCGGUGGCGAAGGCGGCAUCCUGGACCGGUAUUGACGCUGAGGCGCGAAAGCCAGGGGAGCAAACGGG